rnacentral:misc_RNA from 1 species
GAUGAAGAACGUAGCGAAAUGCGAUAAGUAGUGUGAAUUGCAGAAUUCAGUGAAUCAUCGAAUCUUUGAACGCACAUUGCGGCCCUUGGUAUUCCAUGGGGCAUGCCUGUUCGAGCGUCAUUUGUACCUUCAAGCUUUGCUUGGUGUUGGGUGUUUGUCCUCCCCUUUUGUGUUUGGACUCGCCUUAAAACAAUUGGCAGCCAGUGUUUUGGUAUAGAAGCGCAGAACAAGUAGCGAUUCUAGCUAAGUAACGCUGACAUCCAGAAGUCUUUUUUAACUUUUGACCUCGGAUCAGGUAGGGAUACCCGCUGAACUUAAGCAUAUCAAUAAGCGGAGGA